rnacentral:misc_RNA from 1 species
UUUCCGUAGGUGAACCUGCGGAAGGAUCAUUAUUGGAUUUUGAAACUUCAGGCUGCUGCUGGCUCUCCUCGGAGGGCAUGUGCACGCUUGUUGUCCAUUAUUUCUCCCACUGUGCACAAAUUGUAGACCUUUCAGUAGGCCUAUGUUGGUUUUCACAAUCUCUGAAUGUAAUAGAAUGGUUUUGAAUCUUGGGAAAUACAAUACAACUUUCAGCAACGGAUCUCUUGGCUCUC